rnacentral:sRNA from 1 species
UAGAAAAGUUUUUAGGACCAUUCAAUUAGGGGGAAAAGAAAAAUGGGAACAAUCGUAUGUCAAGAUUGUGAAAGUACAAUCGCAUACUUUGAAGAAGAAAAAACAACAGUACUUUACGGAAAAUGUGGAUCUCAUUGUGAAUGUGGCCAUGAGAAACAUGUAAAAGCUUAAUAGUAGAAAAAAAGCGUCUGCGAAUGCAGAUGCUUUUUUA